AUUGAACGCUGGCGGCAGGCCUAACACAUGCAAGUCGAACGAGUGGCGGACGGGUGAGUAAUGUCUGGGAAACUGCCUGAUGGCGGGGGAUAACUACUGGAAACGGUAGCUAAUACCGCAUACCAUCGGAUGUUCCCAGAUGGGCUUAGCUUGUGGGUGGGGUAACGGCACACCUAGGCGACGAUCCCUAGCUGGUCUGAGAGGAUGACCAGCCACAAGUGAACUGAGACACGGUCCAGACUCCUACGGGAGGCAGCAGUGGGGAAUAUGGCACAAUGGGCGCAAGCCUGAUGCAGCCAUGCCGCGUGGAUGAAGAAGGCCUUCGGGUUGUAAAGUACUUUCAGCGGGGAGGCGUUACUCGCAGAAGAAGCACCGGCUAACUCCGUGCCAGCAGCCGCGGUAAUUC
rnacentral:rRNA from 1 species